UACAGAGGGUGCAAGCGUUAAUCGGAAUUACUGGGCGUAAAGCGUGCGUAGACGGUUAUUUAAGUCAGGUGUGAAAGCCCCGGGCUCAACCUGGGAAUUGCAUUUGAGACUGAAUAGCUAGGGUGCGGAAGAGGGGAGCGGAAUUUCCGGUGUAGCGGUGAAAUGCGUAGAUAUCUGGAGGAAUACCGGUGGCGAAGGCGGCAUCCUGGACCGGCAUUGACGCUGAGGAGCGAAAGCUAGGGGAGCAAACGGG
rnacentral:rRNA from 1 species